rnacentral:rRNA from 1 species
UGGGGAAUCUUGCGCAWUGGGGGAAACCCUGACGCAGCGACGCCGCGUGGGUGAAGAAGGCCUUCGGGUUGUAAAGCCCUGUCGAGUGGGAAAAACGGUAGCCAGAAUAAUACGCUGGUUAAUUGAUUGUACUACUAGAGGAAGCACCGGCUAACUCCGUGCCAGCAGCCGCGGUAAUACGGAGGGUGCAAGCGUUGUUCGGAAUUAUUGGGCGUAAAGGGCAAGUAGGUGGUCAUACAAGUUUACUGUGAAAUCCCUGGGCUUAACCCAGGAAGUGCGGUGGAUACUGUAUGACUAGAGUACCGGAAGGGUGCGUGGAAUUCCCAGUGUAGCGGUGAAAUGCGUAGAUAUUGGGAGGAACACCAGAGGCGAAAGCGGCGCACUAGACGGCAACUGACACUCAACUGCGAAAGCGUGGGGAGCAAACAGGAUUAGAUACCCUGGUAGUCCACGCUGUAAACGAUGGACAUUAGACGUGGUGGGUCUUGACCCCUGCCGUGUCGAAGCAAACGCGAUAAAUGUCCCGCCUGGGGAGUACGGUCGCAAGACUA